rnacentral:misc_RNA from 1 species
GUGAAUCAUCGAAUUUUUGAACGCAAAUUGCACUCUCUGGUAUUCCGGAGAGUAUGCCUGUUUGAGGGUCAGUAUAAUCAAAAUAGGUGCGAUGCCUUUUGGGUGAAGUACCGGAGUUUGUGUCGUCUUAACUCUUUAAGAGACCUAAAAAUAAUAUUAUUUUUUUGCUCUCAUUGCGACGUAAAUAAUCUUUUUUAUUCUUUUACACUGGAGGGAAAAAUUUUACAAGAUCGUGA